rnacentral:sRNA from 1 species
CUUGUAGAAACCUCUGCGCCAUGAGAGCCAAGGCUGAAGCGCAAAAGAAGAAAGAUGAGGCAGAGGUCCAAGUAAACCGCUAGCUUGUUGCACCGUGGAGGCCACAGGAGCAGAAACAUGGAAUGCCAGACGCUGGGGAUGCUGGUACAAGUUGUGGGACUGCAUGCUACUCUACUGUCUAGAGCUUGUCUCAAUGGAUCUAGAACUUCAUCGCCCUCUGAUCGCCGAUCACCUCUGAGACCC